rnacentral:lncRNA from 12 species
AGGAGGAUCACCUGCUUUAGGAUCACAGGAAACUUCAGCCACAGUGAACUGGAUGUGGUGGUGGUGGUGGUGGUGGGGUGCUAUUCUAAUUAUAUGUUGGCAAGACAGUUCUGACUAAUGUUGGAAGGCAUUAAUGCAGAGAAGCUGAACUUCAUCCAGCAGAGUUUCCUGGUCAUGUUAGCCUCCCAGAAGAGAACCUACUUUUGUUUCACAUUCUUGCUCUCCAGGAAAGCAGACAGGGAGCAUUUCAGUAUCAGCACUUUUCACCCAUGCAGCGUCCUGUAUGAUGAUGCAAUGCACUUUCACCACUGAUGAUACUCCUAAGGAAGCAGAAAAUUCUCUGAGUUCACUUGGCCUUCAUUCCUUCUCUACAAGAAGAUAAACUGUGGAACAUUGCCACAAAAAAUAGUUCACAUCUCUAAUUUCCAAUUAAUGGAUAAUUUUUCACUGUGGCUCACCCUCAGGAUGGUUGUAUAAUUUAAGAACAGAUGGAAAUAGUAUGCCAUAGAGAAGACUUAAUGAAAUUUGUGGAACAGGAUUGACAAUUCUGAGUUAGUUCGUUGGCUCUGUUUGUUUGAGGGAGAAUAUAGGUAUUUGAUAUACUUGUAAUAAUAAUAAACAGUGUUUAAUGCUUAUUUAGGGUUUAUUA